rnacentral:lncRNA from 10 species
CAACCUCCCCAUAGCUGCAUGGGUUUUCUCUGAGUACUCUAGUUUGCUCUCUCAUUCCAAAGUCAUGCACAUUAGGUUAAUUGGCAUGUCUACAUGGACUCAGUGUGAGUGAAUGUGAGCAUGGGUGUGAGUGUGCUCUGCCAUGAGAGAUUGUCCUGUUCAGGGCUGGUUCCCACCUCACUCCGUGAGCUGCUGGGAUGGGCUCUGGCCACCCAUGACCAUGAACUGGAAAUAAGCAGUUGGGACUUCACAUCAUUGGAAGGUGAAUAGAAAAGUAUGUCUUAAGAAUUUCACCAUGUUUUGGAAGAAUUGCAGCAAGAAAAAAAGAACUCCUUUGUUUCCACCCCAUUUCUUUUAAGGAAAACCUGGAAUAUCUGAGGGUGCAAGCUGAGAAAAGUCUGCUUAUCUGUUCCCUACUCUGGCAAUCAAAAAGGAUCCAAGUCUACUGUUCUCUUCUCCUGGCACUCUUAACUUGCACACAUUGCAACCUUUUAUGGCAAAGUAAUGGUCAAGCUAUCCUAACAAGGACGAGCCCUUAUUAAAUAAUUCACUGUGGUUGGGAAAUGGUGAGGAAGCCAUCUUCUUUUGUCUUCUUUUCUCUGAAAAUAAAAUUUUGUCUAAUUUUGUAUUAAGGACAUUUGGGCUUCACUUUAUUACAUUCUCUACUUUCUUUAAUAGCUCGAAGCUCAUGACAGUACAUGUCUGGUCUUGCAAAACAAGAUGAAUUUGUUAAAUUAAACUUUUAAAAAAAAUCAGUGUAACUGGCCAUCUUUCAUUAUAAAAUAUUUUUUCUCUCAAUUCAAGCCAAUUGUGUGGGGUAUGUGUGUUGUGUGUGUGUGUGUGUGUGUGUGUGUGUCUGCCUUUAUGUGCUGCCUGAAAGCCAUAUGUCCUUCCUCAGGAUAGAAUUUUUAAUUCUAGGUAAUAAAUCUCAAACUUUUGAGAACUAAACUGGAAAUGCCACCUCUGACUUAUCAAUUGUUUCUGGCCUGUGCUUCUACAAAACACACAGCACAUAUUUUCUAACCAUAAUUGAAACCAUUUUAAAAUAGUGUUUUUGGAGGAGUGAAUCUAUGUGAAACUUCUGUAAGCUAUUUGUAGGACAGCCGUGAAAAUCCUCCAUGUUCUAUGCAUUGGAUUUUUUUUCCUCCUUACUCACAAGGAUCAUCUUCAGGUUAAUAUCACAGAAAUUGGGACAACUUAGUGUUCGAGAAAUAGAGAAAUAGCUCAAGGAGCUAUUAGAUACCAACCCAUACCAUGUUGUUUUCUGAGGGUGGGAGAAACUAGAAGAAAGUUUGACAUUACUCUCAUUCCAUGAGACAACCUCAAGAACACAAACCCAAACUAUCCAGGUAGGACUUUUAGUUUAGGGAGACCACCAAAAGAACUGGAGCCCAUUUCCUCUGGUGAUUCAACAAGAUUAACAGCCCCUCCUGAAGUUUUUGUCCAGUGGCCUAGAAUCUAAAUAUGUGCUCAUACCCAGUUCUUUGUCUUCAAUUCCCGAGUCUUCUGUGUGACUCAUUCUGAAAGUCCAGGUGUGGAAGGGAGAGGCGCAUGGAGGAAAAAGCCAGGCUCAGAAUUUAUAUUUGUUUAAUGCCACAUGUUCCCAAACUAUUUCUGGGCUGUUUCAAAAACUGGUCUGCACAGAUAUUAAUCUCUGUAACCAUAUGUCUGAAACAUUUCAUCACUGGGAAACAGCUGAAAGUAGUUGGUGAGGCUCUGUGGGAUCCAUGUUAGGUAUUGUAAGUAUGGUCAGAAGAAGAGCCUGUAUCUGGAGCUUAUGGGAAAAUAAUGAGAAAUGCCUGUACCUCCUCUUUCUUAUUUUUGAGGUUGGCUGCAUGACUACAGUUGUUAGGCCCAGGUAAGUUUAUUCCCAAAGAGUAAGGGUUGGGAUGGAUGGUAUGUGUGG